rnacentral:lncRNA from 10 species
GUAUCACUCCACCGGGUGACUCAGGGAAUAGUCUCGUUAGUCAAAGACAAUCAUAAUAACACCACAUCCCCCUUGCCAGUGAUUAGAUGCUGCAGAGCUUCUGAGAAAAUGAAACACACAGGGAGAGACCAGCCCCAUCUCCUGCUGAAUAUAGUUGCACCUGCACAUAGUCCCCAGAAGUGUGGGGCCAUCUUGGUGCCAGCCCGAGGAAGAAUUUAAUACACAGAGGAGAGCAGAGCCAAGGGAAUCCCAGAGAAGCAGGGGUGGCUCUAGUAUGCCAUGGCUGGCCCCUGUCCUACCUCUAGACCUAACAUUUUAUGAGGUAAAAUGUCCUCUUAUUGUUUAAGCCAAUUUGGGCUGGAGC